rnacentral:lncRNA from 1 species
CCUUCACUUGUUCCUUUGUAUUUCUUUAAGGCAACAAGCCAUUCCUGUGGUGCUGGAUGGGGAUGGGGAAAGUUGCCAGAAAAAUUUUUGGUGCACGUGCAGUAAAAAUCCUCUCCCCACAAAUUCUGGUUUGUAAAAGGAAAUGAGAUUAAUGCACCUCAGGCUGAGUGUGCUACCUGGGA